rnacentral:rRNA from 1 species
GACGAACGCUGGCGGCGUGCCUAACACAUGCAAGUCGAGCGGACGACUUCGGUCUUCAGCGGCGGACGGGUGAGUAACACGUGGGCAACCUGCCUCAUAGAGGGGGAUAGCCUCCCGAAAGGGAGAUUAAUACCGCAUAACAUCAUGCUCACGCAUGUUAGUAUGAUCAAAGGAAUAAUCCGCUAUGAGAUGGACCCGCGGCGCAUUAGCUAGUUGGUGAGGUAACGGCUUACCAAGGCGACGAUGCGUAGCCGACCUGAGAGGGUGAUCGGCCACAUUGGAACUGAGACACGGUCCAGACUCCUACGGGAGGCAGCAGUGGGGAAUAUUGCACAAUGGGCGAAAGCCUGAUGCAGCAACGCCGCGUGAGUGAAGAAGGCCUUCGGGUUGUAAAGCUCUGUCUUUUGGGACGAUAAUGACGGUACCAAAGGAGGAAGCCACGGCUAACUACGUGCCAGCCGCCGCGGUAA